rnacentral:rRNA from 1 species
GAUGAACGCUGGCGGCGUGCCUAAUACAUGCAAGUCGAGCGAACGGACGAGAAGCUUGCUUCUCUGAUGUUAGCGGCGGACGGGUGAGUAACACGUGGAUAACCUACCUAUAAGACUGGGAUAACUUCGGGAAACCGGAGCUAAUACCGGAUAAUAUUUUGAACCGCAUGGUUCAAAAGUAAAAGACGGUCUUGCUGUCACUUAUAGAUGGAUCCGCGCUGCAUUAGCUAGUUGGUAAGGUAACGGCUUACCAAGGCAACGAUGCAUAGCCGACCUGAGAGGGUGAUCGGCCACACUGGAACUGAGACACGGUCCAGACUCCUACGGGAGGCAGCAGUAGGGAAUCUUCCGCAAUGGGCGAAAGCCUGACGGAGCAACGCCGCGUGAGUGAUGAAGGUCUUCGGAUCGUAAAACUCUGUUAUUAGGGAAGAAUAUAUGUGUAAGUAACUGUGCACAUCUUGACGGUACCUAAUCAGAAAGCCACGGCUAACUACGUGCCAGCAGCCGCGGUAAUACGUAGGUGGCAAGCGUUAUCCGGAAUUAUUGGGCGUAAAGCGCGCGUAGGCGGUUUUUUAAGUCUGAUGUGAAAGCCCACGGCUCAACCGUGGAGGGUCAUUGGAAACUGGAAAACUUGAGUGCAGAAGAGGAAAGUGGAAUUCCAUGUGUAGCGGUGAAAUGCGCAGAGAUAUGGAGGAACACCAGUGGCGAAGGCGACUUUCUGGUCUGUAACUGACGCUGAUGUGCGAAAGCGUGGGGAUCAAACAGGAUUAGAUACCCUGGUAGUCCACGCCGUAAACGAUGAGUGCUAAGUGUUAGGGGGUUUCCGCCCCUUAGUGCUGCAGCUAACGCAUUAAGCACUCCGCCUGGGGAGUACGACCGCAAGGUUGAAACUCAAAGGAAUUGACGGGGACCCGCACAAGCGGUGGAGCAUGUGGUUUAAUUCGAAGCAACGCGAAGAACCUUACCAAAUCUUGACAUCCUUUGACAACUCUAGAGAUAGAGCCUUCCCCUUCGGGGGUCAAAGUGACAGGUGGUGCAUGGUUGUCGUCAGCUCGUGUCGUGAGAUGUUGGGUUAAGUCCCGCAACGAGCGCAACCCUUAAGCUUAGUUGCCAUCAUUAAGUUGGGCACUCUAAGUUGACUGCCGGUGACAAACCGGAGGAAGGUGGGGAUGACGUCAAAUCAUCAUGCCCCUUAUGAUUUGGGCUACACACGUGCUACAAUGGACAAUACAAAGGGCAGCGAAACCGCGAGGUCAAGCAAAUCCCAUAAAGUUGUUCUCAGUUCGGAUUGUAGUCUGCAACUCGACUACAUGAAGCUGGAAUCGCUAGUAAUCGUAGAUCAGCAUGCUACGGUGAAUACGUUCCCGGGUCU